AGCGAACGCUGGCGGCGUGCCUAACACAUGCAAGUCGAACGUGAAAAGGGAAACCUGAGUACAGUGGCGUACGGGUGAGUAACGCGUAGGUCAUCUACCCCAGAAUCUGGAAUAACCUGCCUAAAGGCGGGCUAAUACUGGAUAGACCGAGGGAACUCGUAAGAGAGUUUUUCGGGAAAUGGAGCCCGCAAGGGCCUUCGUUCUGGGAUGAGCCUGCGUCUCAUUAGCUAGUUGGUAAGGUAACGGCUUACCAAGGCGAUGAUGAGUAGCUGGUCUGAGAGGAUGAACAGCCACACUUGAACUGAAACCCGGGCCAGACUCCUACGGGAGGCAGCAGUGGGGAAUCUUGCGCAAUGGACGAAAGGCUGAAGCAGCCACGCCGCGUGGGUGAAGAAGGCCCUCGGGUUGUAAAGCUCUGUCUGAUGGGACGAAAAUAUUCAUAGUGAAUAGCUAUGAGGACUGACGGUACCAUAAAAGGAAGCACCGGCUAACUCCGUG
rnacentral:rRNA from 1 species